GAAGGCAUAUGACUCAAACUUAGGCUGCUCUACAUAGCCAGUUCCAGACCAGCCUAGUCUAAAUAGUGAGACCUUGUCUCAAAAAAGAAAAAAGAAAAGAACUGAAACUUGGAGUUGAUUCCCUUCCCUUUACUAUAUUGCUUUUCAAAUGUAGCUGUUCAUGUAUCCUGUUUUUCUAAAGGAUUUUCUGUGUUCUUUUUAAACACAGGUUAAGAAUAGGAGAAAUCUGGUAAUUCAUCCUGUUUGGUACUCUUAAGUAAAUAAAACACAAGAUUCUUCUGAAGUAACUUGUGGUACUUGAUCUUGAAGCACUUGAUCCUACUAGUCCCACUACUGUAGGCUUGCUUAGGCUUUUCCUGAAGAUUCACUCCUUCUUAAAUAGAGCAGGUGAAUAGUUAGUUUACUUAGCAACACCCCGUUGAAUGCUGACAUACCAAAGUACAUUUGGUGUUAAUUUAACUUUUGAUAGUAUUGGUGCAAAAGUAGAAUUUCUUUGAAAAAAGUGUCACAGCCGCAUUAGAAUGGGCUUGUGUGCCAGUUCGUCGCAGUUCUUUUUAUGUAUUGCCUUACUCUCGUUCUCUUCUUGUAUUUCUCCACACUUUGUGACCUGGGUACUUUCAUGAUUUGGGACAUACAGCAUUGAUAACUAGCAAGAUGAAUUUCCUGAUCUCAUAUUUAGCGUAAGACUUAGGCCACAAACAUCUAAUGGAGUCAUGGGUAGAAAAUAAGAUAUAAGAAAUUAUUGCAGACGUUUAACUUUUAAAUUGCAGACUAUCGGUGGUCCAUGUCAAGUCAUAGUUCACAAGUGGGAGACUCAUCUACAACCACGAUCAAUAACCCCUUUAGAAAGUGAGAUCAUUAUUGAUGAUGGACAAUUUGGAAUUCACAGUUCCUACGUCAGCUCCUGCCCUGGUGUCCCCUGAUAAUGGACUAUAAUCUGCUCUAUUCUUUCACCCUGGACCAAGUUGCUGUUCUGAUUGAAUGCCUUCAGAGAAACAAGCAAAAACCAUGAAGCUGAGGAAGUUUCUCUUCUGUGCUGACCGUCAUCCAGCACCCCAUGCUGGGAAAUGUACCACUCAAGU